CCUACGGGGUGCUGCAGUGGGGAAUAUUGCACAAUGGGCGAAAGCCUGAUGCAGCAACGCCGCGUGAGCGAUGAAGGCCUUCUGGUCGUUAAGCUCUGUCCUCAAAGAAGAUAAUGACGGUACUUGAGGAGGAAGCCCCGGCUAACUACGUGCCAGCAGCCGCGGUAAUACGUAGGGGGCUAGCGUUAUCCGGAAUUACUGGGCGUAAAGGGUGCGUAGGUGGUUUCUUAAGUCAGAGGUGAAAGGCUACGGCUCAACCGUAGUAAGCCUUUGAAACUGGGAGACUUGAGUGCAGGAGAGGAGAGUGGAAUUCCUAGUGUAGCGGUGAAAUGCGUAGAUAUUAGGAAGAACACCAGUUGCGAAGGCAGCUCACUGGACUGUAACUGACACUGAGGCACGAAGGCGUGGGGAGCGAACAGGAUUAGAUACCCGAGUAGUC
rnacentral:rRNA from 1 species